rnacentral:rRNA from 1 species
CCUACGGGAGGCAGCAGUGGGGAAUAUUGCACAAUGGGCGCAAGCCUGAUGCAGCGACGCCGCGUGAGGGAUGACGGCCUUCGGGUUGUAAACCUCUUUCAGUAGGGAAGAAGCGAGAGUGACGGUACCUGCAGAAGAAGCGCCGGCUAACUACGUGCCAGCAGCCGCGGUAAUACGUAGGGCGCAAGCGUUAUCCGGAUUUAUUGGGCGUAAAGAGCUCGUAGGCGGUUUGUCGCGUCUGCCGUGAAAGUCCGAGGCUCAACCUCGGAUCUGCGGUGGGUACGGGCAGACUAGAGUGAUGUAGGGGAGACUGGAAUUCCUGGUGUAGCGGUGAAAUGCGCAGAUAUCAGGAGGAACACCGAUGGCGAAGGCAGGUCUCUGGGCAUUUACUGACGCUGAGGAGCGAAAGCAUGGGGAGCGAACAGGAUUAGAUACCCUGGUAGUCCAUGACGUACGUACGGUCGACUAGUGGUGGGACGAUCUCGUUCGUCGCGUCGCACGCAUAGUCGCCGCCGUCGGAGGUACGGCCGCGAACGGUACGUAAACGUUAAAGUUAGUAGUUAGUUACGGCGNGNGNGNGCGACGACGACGACGAGGGAGGAGG